AUGCACGCUAGCUACAGGCUUAACACAUGCAAGUCGAGGGGAAACGGCAUCGAAAGCUUGCUUUUGAUGGGCGUCGACCGGCGCACGGGUGAGUAACGCGUAUCCAACCUGCCCAUCACUUGGGAAUAACCUUGCGAAAGUAAGACUAAUGCCCAAUGACAUCCCACGAAGGCAUCCGAAUGGGAUUAAAGAUUUAUCGGUGAUGGAUGGGGAUGCGUCUGAUUAGCUUGUUGGCGGGGUGACGGCCCACCAAGGCAACGAUCAGUAGGGGUUCUGAGAGGAAGGUCCCCCACAUUGGAACUGAGACACGGUCCAAACUCCUACGGGAGGCAGCAGUGAGGAAUAUUGGUCAAUGGGCGAGAGCCUGAACCAGCCAAGUAGCGUGCAGGAUGACGGCCCUAUGGGUUGUAAACUGCUUUUAUAAGGGAAUAAAGUGGGUCACGUGUGACUUUUUGCAUGUACCUUAUGAAUAAGGACCGGCUAAUUCCGUG
rnacentral:rRNA from 1 species